rnacentral:rRNA from 1 species
AGAAUGAACGUUGGCGGCAUGGAUUAGGCAUGCAAGUCGAGCGAGAAGGAAAUCAAAGUUUACUUUGGUUUCCGGAAAGCGGCGCAAGGGAGAGUAACGCGUAGUUAUCUACCCCAAGGCCCGGAAUAGCUGCGGGAAACUGCAGGUAAUGCCGGAUAAUAUCCCCGGAUCAAAGGUGUGAUUCCGCCUUGGGAGGAGACUGCGUUGUACUAGCUUGUUGGUGGGGUAAUGGCCUACCAAGGCUACGAUGCAUAGCGGGCGUGAGAGCGUGGCCCGUCUCACUGGGACUGAAACACUGCCCAGACACCUACGGGUGGCUGCAGUCGAGAAUCUUCGGCAAUGGGCGAAAGCCUGACCGAGCAAUGCCGCGUGCGGGAUGAAGGCCCUCGGGUUGUAAACCGCUGUCGUAGGGGGAGAAAGGUCUCAUGAAGAAUGAGA